CUACGUGCCAGCAGCCGCGGUAAUACGGAAGGUCCAGGCGUUAUCCGGAUUUAUUGGGUUUAAAGGGAGUGUAGGCGGUUUGUUAAGCGUGUUGUGAAAUUUAGGUGCUCAACAUUUAACUUGCAGCGCGAACUGUCAGACUUGAGUACACGCAACGUAUGCGGAAUUCAUGGUGUAGCGGUGAAAUGCUUAGAUAUCAUGAAGAACUCCGAUUGCGAAGGCAGCAUACGGGAGUGUAACUGACGCUUAAGCUCGAAGGUGCGGGUAUCGAACAGGAUUAGAUACCCUGGUAGUCCGCACAGUAAACGAUGGAUGCCCGCUGUUAGCGCCUGGCGUUAGCGGSUAAGCGAAAGCAUUAAGCAUCCCACCUGGGGAGUACGCCGGCAACGGUGAAACUCAAAGGAAUUGACGGGGGCCCGCACAAGCGGAGGAACAUGUGGUUUAAUUCGAUGAUACGCGAGGAACCUUACCCGGGCUUGAAUUGCAGAGGAAUUAUUUAGAGAUA
rnacentral:rRNA from 1 species